GAUAGUGUAAUUUCACGUAUAUUAUUACUUUUAAUGCUACCCAAAGGUCGUGACAAGUCGAUAAAACGCAGAGUCAAAA
rnacentral:ribozyme from 1 species